rnacentral:rRNA from 1 species
AGUCAUUGGGUGGAAAACCUAAAGGCGCAAUGAAAGUGCCUGGGGGCGCCUCAGGCGUCCCCGGCGGGAGGAUGGGCCCACCGGCCCCCCGGCCGGAGCCCCGCACUCCCGGGGCGUCUCAUUCUCUCUAAGAGUCGAGACGCACCAGGAGCGCACACGCUGUUACCCGAAAGAUGGUGAACUAUGCCUGGCCAGGACGAAGCCAGGGGAAACCCUGGUGGAGGUCCGAAGCGAUUCUGACGUGCAAAUCGAUCGUCUGAGCUGGGUAUAGGGGCGAAAGACCAAUCGAACCAUCUAGUAGCUGGUUCCCUCUGAAGUUUCCCUCAGGAUAGCUGGCUCUCGGGAAGAGACGAGUCUCAUCCGGUAGAGCGAAUGAUUAGAGGUGAUGGGGUCGAAACGACUUCAACCUAUUCUCAAACUCCCAAUAGAUGAGAGCCCCGGCUUGCUUGAAAGUGAAGCCGCGGGAAUCGGAUCGGAGAGGCCAAGUGGGCCAAUUUUG